rnacentral:rRNA from 1 species
CUGAAUGAUAUGGCCGAGACUCUGCUUGACUAGCUGAGAGGAGGUGCAUGGCCGUCGUCAGUUCGUACUGUGAAGCAUCCUGUUAAGUCAGGCAACGAGCGAGACCCACGCCAACAGUUGCCAGCAUGUCCUCCGGGAUGAUGGGGACACUGUUGGGACCGCUCUGCUAAAGAGGAGGAAGGAAUGGGCAACGGUAGGUCAGCAUGCCCCGAAUUAUCCGGGCUACACGCGGGCUACAAUGGUCAGGACAAUGGGUAUCGACACCGAGAGGUGGAGGCAAUCUCCUAAACCUGUCCUUAGUUCGGAUUGUGGGCUGCAACUCGCCCACAUGAAGCUGGAAUCCGUAGUAAUCGCGUUUCAAAUAGCGCGGUGAAUAUGUCCCUGCUCCUU